rnacentral:misc_RNA from 1 species
AAGGAGUACUCCCCCGUCGUCACCUCCCUCAACACGUACAAGAUCUUCCUCAUCGGCGAACAGCUCAGGACUUGUAUGAAUGGAGUAUGUCUUAUAAGGGACCGGAAAUACAGACUCAGAACGUACAGAUCCUGUUUCCAGGGCAAUGAGACCGUUGAUUGGAUGGUUCGCAGCAGACGGUGCGACGACCGUCUCACCGCCGUACGCAUAAUGCGCACUCUUCAAAAAUGGAGCUUUUUUCAUCAUGUGUGCGAUGACCACAACUUUAAGGAUGAACUUCUGUUUUAUCGGUUUCGUCGCGAUGAUGACUCUAUCGAAUCUCAGAAAGAUCUCUUACUCUUCUACAAAGUGCUCGAUAUUUACCACUCCAUAAAUACUUCAAAGAAAGGCAUAUUACGUGGCUACCAAGUGAAAGGACAGGUGUUCGAUAGAGCUUUCAUGGGAUCCGCGUUCGUUGAUUGGUUAGUCAAAUCAGGAAUGGUCGACACGAAGGAACGGGCCAUAAUUACGGGGAGGCAACUCCUGGAAAACGAUAUCAUCAGACACGUGACAGACGAUCACCACUUCCGAAACGACAGCAUGCUUCUGUACCAGUUUAACCUGGAUCUGGACCAGCGUCGGCGGAUGUCAGACGUCCUCAUCCUGGACGACACCCGCCGGAUGUCAACAGAUUCCCGAUCCUCAAAUGAGUCUCAAGAAAUCCCAGUCCGGACUAUAGAGUCACGUGAUAUCGGUUUAAGUGAUAUUGAAAAUACUGAAAACAAAUCAUCUGAAACAAUAGAAUCCUCAUCCCCCAUGCAACCAAAAUCAGUGUUGUUACGUUAUGAAACUGCAGACGACCUAGAAUCUCCCGACACGCCCUACGUCAGAUCCUGUCUCAGGAUUUUCAGCGACUCUGUGGGGUACGGGUUUGUGAUUCGUGGGAUCGGCCCUACCUACGUACAGACGGUGGACCCCGAGGGACCAGCAGCCGAUGCUGGGCUCAAGGUUCGUCAGUAUAUAUAUUCGGUGAAUGGUGAGAACGUUUUGCGGGAGGAUCACCAUACUGUGGCGCAAAGGAUCAUGGGAAGUAACAGGGACUACAUCAACCUUUGUGUCAUGUCUCACAAACGGGAACUAAAAGAAAAAUGAACCCGUCCUAUACUCAUGACAGAACCAUAUGUCAAAGGAUCAAACUGCACCACAACAACUCUAGUCAUCUACCCCUUCUAUUAUAUUAACUUUUAAUUUUCAAAAAAAAAAUAUAUAUAGUAACCAUGGUAACUAACAAUAAACAAAUCUAAUACAAACAAGGUACAUAGAUAAAAUUGUUGGGAGAAAAACCUGCCAUUGUACUUAACAAUUUUUAAAAGUUUUAAUUUUGAAGAUACAUCGAUUCUUGAACAGUGGUCUUACCAAUAAACUAUGCUAUCACAUCUUAGUUUGAUGAACAUUUGAUUCAAGGAUUGACUCUGUCUCAACAGUGAAGUAUAUGAUGAAAAUAACACACAGUACAUUUUUCUUUUCUUGGCACCUUUUUUUUAGUUUAUCCAUCUCCUUGGGAUUCAAGUAUCAUAAAUGAAUUCCAAAAGAAUUUAAAUCACAAUUACUAGGCUUUGUUUUUGGAAGCGUUUUGAAGCAAAACAAUUUUGUAAAUUUAUUGGACCAAUGUACAAUAAUUCUCAUUUUGUUUGUUAUGUUUUACUGUUACAGAACAUCUACCAUCCCAGAACAACUGUCAAAUACUCGCUUAUAAUAAAAUACAAAACAUGAUUG